GACGAACGCUGGCGGCGUGCUUAACACAUGCAAGUCGAACGGAAAGGCCCUGCUUUUGUGGGGUGCUCGAGUGGCGAACGGGUGAGUAACACGUGAGUAACCUGCCCUUGACUUUGGGAUAACUUCAGGAAACUGGGGCUAAUACCGGAUAGGAGCUCCUGCUGCAUGGUGGGGGUUGGAAAGUUUCGGCGGUUGGGGAUGGACUCGCGGCUUAUCAGCUUGUUGGUGUGGUAGUGGCUUACCAAGGCUUUGACGGGUAGCCGGCCUGAGAGGGUGACCGGCCACAUUGGGACUGAGAUACGGCCCAGAAUCAUACGGGAGGCAGCAGUGGGGAAUAUGGCACAAUGGGCGGAAGCCUGAUGCAGCAACGCCGCGUGCGGGAUGACGGCCUUCGGGUUGUAAACCGAUUUCGCCUGUGACGAAGCGUGAGUGACGGUAAUGGGUAAAGAAGCACCGGCUAACUACGUG
rnacentral:rRNA from 1 species